UACGAAGGGGGCUAGCGUUGCUCGGAAUCACUGGGCGUAAAGCGCGCGUAGGCGGUUACUCAAGUCGGAUGUGAAAGCCCUCGGCUUAACUGAGGAAGUGCACCCGAAACUGAGUAGCUAGAGUACCAAAGAGGGUCGCGGAAUUCCCGGUGUAGAGGUGAAAUUCGUAGAUAUCGGGAGGAACACCGGUGGCGAAGGCGGCGACCUGGGUGGAUACUGACGCUGAGGCGCGAAAGCGUGGGGAGCAAACAGG
rnacentral:rRNA from 1 species